ACACACACACACACACACACCCUCCGAGGAACAGCUCUUCGGACUUCCAUUCUGGCCUACACUCAACAGCUCUGUCCACCCAUCCACCUUGGGCUUCUCCAGUUCUCUGUCUCAUUUUCGCCUGUCCUCAGGUCUAUUUCGGGCAUCCUCUAAUGUCACAAAGUUCAACCAGAAGAUACUUUACAGGGGAAAAAACUCUUCUCCACUGCCCCCUCCACACCAAAAUAGAGAGGGGGGAACUCCAAGGAGGGGGGGGACCCCAAGCCCCCUUCCUUUUGUGGGUUUCCUAUCCUUCAGGCCGAGACUCCUUUACAGUGACCUACAGAAAGGGGGAAAAUUAUAUCAGUGGACGCCUGAGGUAUGACAGACAAGAGCUGCUUCGGUGCUUGCAGAAAAAAAAUUGAUGACACAGUUGCCGAAAGCUCUCUCAGGAUGUCCAUAUUUUCAUCAGAGAAAUGUUGGAGAGUAUGAGACACUGAGCAGCGCAGGAGAGCGUUGUCGUCUUGGAAGUGGAGACAUGUCCUGGACAGAGUUUCAAGGGCCAGACAGAACCUCAGUCCCCGUGCUAGAGGUUCCUUAUGCUUCUGUUUCAUGCAUUGCACCAAAACCAUGUCUUUAUUAAAUCACAUCACCUGCAACACAUGCAAUCUUGCUGAAAGCCAGACUGUGCUGAAGGCACAGUUUCUGCAACUUAGAAAGCGAACUGUAUUGAGUUGGUGGGGGGCAGGAAAGAAAGUAAGACAUUAUCACGUGACCAAUUCCUUCCAGGCCUUGGUAUACGCUCUAUAGAUCAUGGGUAGCCUUAAGGCCCCAGCUGGAGAGCAAUCCAGUUUACAAACAAGGAAACGGUACAUGCCCCCAAAGUCUUUGUGCAUUAUUGAAAAGGGCAUCAGGCACCACACUGUGCCAAAGAUAAGGAGACUAUAUGUUUUCAAAGCACCAUACCCCUCAAAUGGGUUGAUAAUUCAUGAAGAAAGCUACCUAAUGCUUUGAUCUCAGCAGACAAAAACAUAACUGACUGAACAGUGCUAUGGUAUAGCUCAGGCAUCCCCAAACUGCGGCCCUCCAGAUGUUUUGGCCUACAACUCCCAUAAUCCCUAGCUAACAGGACCAGUGGUCAGGGAUGAUGGGAAUUGUAGUCCAGAAAAUCUGGAGGGCCGAAGUUUGGGGAUGCCUGGUAUAGCUUCUCUUGUGUGUCAGUCAUAGAAUCAUAGGCCUCUGAUAGAGCAUCACUUGCCUUCAUUACCUAACAAUGGCCCUGCUUCAUCAAUAGAUAUCUCAGGAGGCCUUCUUUCUUAGGUACUCCAAAUUAGUGCCAUCCAGAUGUUUUGGAGCAGAGCUCUCAUCACCCUCAGCCAUGUGCAGUUGAGGGGAGUUGUAGUCCAGAAUAUCUGGAAGGCACCAGGAUGGGGAAGGUUGCCAUAGGGUUAUGUGUGUCAACUGGUUCACUGGUCAUCCACAGCCUCAGGCUGCCUUGAAGGUGCAUUCUGCCUCGAGUGACACAGCAGUAUCAACCAAACAGCAGUGUGUGUGUGUGUGUGUGUGUGUGUGUGUGUUCCAUCUCUGAGCAGCUCUGCAACAGAGUCCACAGGAGUCCUUAAAUAGGGCAAGGUGAGGGGCCACAGCUCAGUGGUCAAAAGCAUGUUUUGUUUGCAGACAGUGCCAGGUUUAAUAUUCCACACCGCCAGUGCAAAGGAUUUCAAACAGACAGUUGCUGUUGUUUAGUCGUUUAGUCGUGUCUGACUCUUCGUCACCCCACGGACCAGAGCACGCCAGGCACUCCUGUCUCCCACUGCCUCCCACAGACAGUAGGGGCCCCAAUAUGUGCCUUGUAUCUGUGCAUUAAAAAAGAGAUCAGUCUGUUUCUGUGUUGCUCUGUCUCUCUCCCCUCCCUUUAAUCACUUUCAGGUUCUGAGGCGCUCUAUUUAAAUGUAGUUCUGUGCUACACAUUCACUAUAACGGGGAAUCGAAAACCUGUUAAAACUUUUUCACCUUUUGGCCAAAGUGGAUGAAAUUUACAGGCCCAGAGUUCCUCCAGAGGAUUAAGCCAAUCAAUGCUGGAUCCAGUUUCAGCAUUGUUUCAUAUUAUUUUAACAUUGUUGAAGAAAAUGAUGGGUUUUCCUCCCACUCCUUUCAUUUCUUCCUUCUUAGCCCGUGACUGCCUUUAUCCCCCAUUAUAAACAGUAGAGUUUCAUUCAACAUAGGAGAGAUUCUGAAGGGGGUGGGUUUAAAGUAUUUUGCCUCCCUCUCCCUGGUCAAGAAUAUUAAGUGAAAUGCCGCCACCCAAUUUCAGUACCCAAAAUAGCAUGGAGAAUUUUAGGGUGCUUUUCACUGUGUUUCAGGGAAAGUUAUCUAGUCUUCUCAGCAAAUCUGACACCAAAAAACCCUAUCAAAAGGAGAAAUCAGGCAAUGUUGAUGGAUGGAGGAGAUAAAGGCCAGCUGGCUCCCCCUACCCCAACUGUGCAAGGCCUCCAUCCUAAAAUCCCACAUCAAGCCCUAGAUUGAGGAAGCUGUGCUCAGCCCUACAAAUUAAUAUAUAAGUAUCAUUCUUGUCUUCGAUCCACAACUUGGGAAGCUACUGUGCAUCUGUUGGUGUUGCCCAAAGCAAACAAAACAACUGGAUCAUCGUCCAUGUAUUCUGAGUUCCUCUUUGUUCCAACAUGAUUCAUUGAGGUAGGGUUCUUACAUUAAUCCUAUCAGCAGUCACUGGUACCAUAUAGGUUGAAGAUAUCUGGAGUAGAGCUCAAGGACCACCCUAAAAGAAUGAGCAGCUGCCUUGCCACAUUCUGAAUAUGCAUUACCACCAUAGAGCUCCCCCUGUCUCCACAGUAGGAUCAUUAAAACCAAAGUCUAGAAUUACCUAACUGCACCACCAUCAGCAAGAUUGGUUCAUGGUUCUUACAUCACAGUGAAUUCAAUGGGAUAAAUAAGCAUUUACCUAACUCUUUCACACUGCAAUCAAUGAGGUUUAAAAAUGUACUCAACAUACGCAGCAAUUUUCAUUACAGACCAGUUUUCCCCAACCUGGGGAUCUUGGAUUUUUUUUUGUACUACAACUCCCAUCAGCCCUAGCCAGCACAGCCAUGCUAUGUGAAGCUGAUGGGAGUUGUAGUCUAAGGCAUCUAGAGGACACCAGGCUGGGGAAGGCUGAUGCAGCCCUUCAUAACAACAGACUUUAUGGAAACACUUUGCUGUUUAAUUAAGACAGCCUUUUAUUUGUUUUGCACAUUGCUUGCACGCAAACACUCAUUCACAUCCUGCGUCUCGCAGAGCAUUAAAUCACUGCCGUGACGGCCAAGUCCAUUUAUUUAAACAAGAGAGCAGAAGUGGGCUUCAAGGAGUGCACCUUGUUUACGAGAUACAAAACCCUAUUAAUUCCAGGAGAAGUUGCUCUGUGCAGUUAGUGGUUUCAGACUUUCAUGAUGUACUCUCAUAUGGCAUAGCAAUAAUUCCAGCGAUAAUUCCAGAGAUGGGGUGAAUUGUUCAUUUGAGAUAUCAGAGCUAGGUUCUUUUGUGAAACCGUGUGAAGUCACACACAACACAUCUGUUCUUGCCAUAGCUGCCAAGUCUCCCGCUGAAAAAUGCAUGUCUGGGCACCGGAAAUUGGGCGGCGCCAGGACCCAAAAUGCCUGCCUCCCUGGCAGGUAAGAAAUCCGGGGGAUUUACGGGAUUUUUCCCAAUCCGGGCUGCCAGCGGGAAAUGGUUUAAAAUAUGGGGGUUUCCCAUGAAAAAUGGGAGGCUUGGCAGCUAAGGUACUUGCAAAUCCAGAAGAUUUUUUUAAAUUGCUUUUUAAAUUUUAAAUUCUAUUUAUAGACUAAAAGAUCUUGAAGUGGCUCACAUACACAAUAAAUACUAAAAAAAUAAAUAAAUUAAAAAUCCACAUCAAAUUAUUCACAAAACAAAACACAAAGCCAAUAUCCAUAUCCAUAACUGAUUUAUUGAUUGAAUUUAUAUACAGUUACAGACUCCGCUAACCCGGAAGUAGUACCUUGGGUUAAGAACUUUACCUCAGGAUGAGAACAGAAAUCGCAUGGUGGCGGCGCGGCGGCAGCAGCAGGAGGCCCCAUUAGCUAAAGUGGUACCUCAGGUUAAGAAUGGUUUCAGGUUAAGAACGGACCUCCAGAAUGAAUUAAGUUCGUAACCAGAGGUACCUCUGUAGAUUUCUAGUAAUCUGAAGCAGUAAUGGUCGCCUGCCCCACUCCUUUGUUUUCAGGUCCUCCCUUUUCCACACAGGAAGCUUGUAUCACUUGUGUUAGUUUGCUUUAAGGUUCAGUUUGGGUUCCACCCGUUCUGAGACGUUAUCAAAUAUGAUUAUCAAAUGGACCAGGUAUAUGUUAAGGUACGUUAUCCCACAGUUUCCAGCUUAUUUACCCAUCGCUUUCCUUCAGGGAAAAUAGGUUUGUUACAGAGGACCCCUCCAAUCAACUAAGAUUGUGCAGCCUUAAUUUGCCAGUAUGUGACUGACUCCCACCCCAAAAUAGCAAGAAUCUGGAAGCACCCUUGAUCAGUUCUGUCUGAAGAGAAUGAGAAGAUUUGACCUUCUCAUAUGCAGUCUGUGACCAUACGUCUCUUUGAAUGACUCGGAGAGAAGAAAAGUGUUGCACUGUACAAAUAUUUGUUUUAAAGGCCAUGUGGGAUCUGGAUUUGAGGCUUCCCAUUUGAAGGUGCAGGUGCUGGAAGCAGGACAUGAGCAAACCAAUACCUAUUCUCAAGAGACUGUGCCAGGCAUUUUUUUUUUUUAAAAAAACACACAUUAGCAUGCUUCAUAGAUUUUGGCCAAAGCAAGGAGAGAUGAAAGAGAGUGGCGUAGCUGGACCAAGAAGCAAGAGGGUUGUUUAAUGACGUGCUGGACUAUGCAGGGAAAAUAUGGACAAGGAGCAAAUCUGUGCCUUGGAAUGAAACUGCUUUUUGAUUGAUGCAAAUCUAGACAUCCUUUUGGGGAAAAAAAUUGCUUUGAAUUUCUCCAGCAAACAUGACCCCUCCAGAGAUACUAACAGUAUAUAAACAAUACUGAUGAACAGUAUGUUGUAAAAAUAGCAUCAAUAUGAGGAGAU